rnacentral:rRNA from 1 species
CAAUAGCGUAUAUUAAAGUUGUUGCAGUUAAAAAGCUCGUAGUUGGAUUUCUGGUCGGAAGCUCCUGUCCUCUGAUGAGCGUACAAGUGCGUCCUACCAUCCUUCUGUUAACCUUUAAGGCUUUCGCGGCUUUCUAGGGGCUCAGAUAUUUUACCUUGAGAAAAUUAGAGUGUUUCAGGCAGGCUAGCGCCGGAAUACAUUAGCAUGGAAUAAUGGAAUAGGACUUUUGCCUCUUCUGUUGGUCAUGAGGCUCGAGUAAUGAUUAAUAGGGAUAGUUGGGGGCAUUAGUACUUAACUGUCAGAGGUGAAAUUCUCGGAUUUGUUAAAGACUAACUUAUGCGAAAGCAUUUGCCAAGGAUGUUUNCAUUAG